AAUGAGAGUUGUUUGGAGACGCAGUUUAAUAAAAUAACAAAGAAAACACCAAAACGAAACGAUAACUUUUUACGUAAACGUGGCUGCACGAAAAAUAGCACAAAAAUAAAAUCACAAAAAUGUGGUCAUCGUGUGAAACUAGGAAUCUUUUGUCAUAGUUGUGGCUCCAUGCUCUCCACUCUAUUUUAUUAAGCAGAUUUUAGGCCUGAGCCAGUCGUCACAACAACAAGAUGCCAGUUUUGCUUGUGCUGCUGUUGACCUGUCAUCAGCAACAAUCUCAUCAUCAUCUCUUGGAUAAACAGCAUCCCAGUUGAUUGGAGAAAUUUCCCUUCUUUAAAUAUCCUCUGUCCUUGUGUACACCCAUGUGUGUGUGAGUGUAUUCACGAGGACCCCCUUUUUCCCUAUCCUGCCUGGUGUGUUCAACUCUUCAGGGAAUGGAUAGAUGCCUGGCUGUAUUUCCCAGGCUUAAAGGUAGGAAAAAUCUAUCUCAACCCUCCUUUUUGAC